GUUUGUCCAAGUGAGUUUGAUCGGAUUGGUCUGUUUCUGCUGCCCUGGCAUGUUCAUGGCCCUCUCUGGCAUGGGCGGCGGAGGCCAGGUCGACCCGACUGCCUCCAACAACGCCUCCACCGCCCUCUAUACCACCUUCGCCGUCUUCGGAAUUCUCGGCGGCGGCAUCUACAACAUCCUCGGCCCCCGCCUCACUCUCCUCUCCGCCUGCCCCACCUACGUCCUCUACGCCGGCUCAUUCCUCUACUACAACCACCACAAGCACCAGGCUUUCGCUAUUGUCGCCGGAGUAAUCCUCGGAAUCGGCGCCGGCCUCCUCUGGGCAGGCCAAGGCGCCAUCAUGACGUCAUACCCUCCCCCGAACCGAAAGGGGACAUACAUCUCGAUUUUCUGGAGCAUUUUCAACAUGGGUGGCGUCAUCGGUGGACUAAUUCCCUUCGUUCUUAAUUACCACCGGAGCGAAGCGGCUUCCGUCAACGAUGCAACUUACAUUGGGAUAAUGAUUUUCAUGUCCAUCGGGACUCUUUUAUCCCUCUCUAUCCUGCCCGCCAGCAAAGUUGUCCGGGACGACGGGACUAAAUGUACGGACAUUCAGUACUCAAAUGUCACAACUGAGGCCAUUGAGAUUGCCAAGCUGUUUACGAAUUGGAAAAUGCUUCUUAUAAUCCCGGCUGCUUGGUCGGGCAAUUUUUUCUACACCUACCAGUUCAACAACGUCAACCAAAUUAUGUUUAAUCUGAGGACGAGAGGAUUGAACAAUGUGUUCUACUGGGGAGCGCAGAUGUUGGGGUCCAUCGGGAUUGGAUACGUUAUGGAUUUCAGCUUCAAGAGCAGGAGGACGAGGGGUUUCGCUGGCAUUUCAGUAGUUGGUGUUCUCGGGACUACAAUUUGGAUUGGCGGACUUGUCAACCAGCUCAACUACUCUCGCAGUGAUUUGCCUGAGAAGUUGGAUUUUAAGGACUCCGGCUCUGCUUUCGCAGGACCCUUCGUGUUGUAUUUUAGUUUCGGACUGCUUGAUGCCAUGUUCCAGAGCAUGAUUUACUGGGUCAUUGGAGCCUUGGCUGAUAACUCUGAAAUUCUAAGCAGGUAACAGGAUAUUCCUUGCUUCUCAACUUUUUCAUUUCUCAAUGAUCUUCGUGCGUUUAGGCAAUUUUUCGUGCGCAGGCGUGGACAAUCCAAUCCAAUCAUGCGCACGAAAUGUGGCCUUAGUUACAGUCACAGAACAAAGAGUGAUGCUAAAAACUCAUAUUUUUGUGCAUGUUUUGUACAGGUAUGUUGGAUUCUACAAAGGAAUACAGAGUGCAGGGGCAGCAGUUGCUUGGCAAGUCGAUACGCUCAAGGCAUCCUUCCUCUCCCAAUUGGUUACCAAUUUCGCGCUCAACACCGUGAGUUAUCCGCUGCUGCUGGUUCUGAUCUUGCUGGCUGUGAAGGAUGAAGGUAAGGCUGAUGUGGAGGAAUUUACCAAGGAGAAGGUUGCUGAGCCUGCAGCCUCAGAGAAGUGAUCAUAAUGAUCGUCGGCUUAAUUAGCAGAUCAAAUUAGUCAUAAGCUCUGAAUAUUUGAUUUAAUUACGUUCAUACAAUCGAAUCUUCACGAAUUAGUGUAAAUUAUGUACCAUGUUCAAAUUGUCAAGUAUUUUACUGAGUAAAUGUUGUAAUGGAGGUACUAUAUUGAAAUAAAAUAGUAGGUGGGGUAUGAAAGUGAAAUGUUUUAAAGAUGUUGUAUAGAGUUGUAAUAGACUUUAAACUUGAGGGGUAACUAUGUAAUUUACCCUAAUAAAUAAUACACCGUUAUUGUGGGAAGAUUUUUUCAGUACGUCGAAAACCCGGCCUGGUACACCAAAUAUAAUAAUAUAAUUAGUUGAAAAUUGAAAAUAAAAUUUCAACCAAUUAUAUUAUUACACUUGUGUACCGAACGUGUUCCAAAUACACUGAAAAAUUUAUCGCUACUUUAGCAUAACGUCCCAAUAAGUUAGAAGUAUAUGUAAUAUUUUAUCCGCGCGUCUUUAUUUCUUUAACGCUUAUAGUUAUACCAUCUAAGUUGUUUUCGCUCUUCACUCUUUGUCUCUCUUUCCGUGGACCAUGAAUCAAGGACAGUUUGGCAUGGACAUAUACAGUAUACUCAUAUACCCAUCCCACUAGGGAAUUAAAAUACAAGAUUCCUUUCCACCUAUUAUCUAACGAAUGAUUGAAAUUUUGAAAUUGACUGAAUUUUUUAUGGAUUUAACUUCGCUGCGGCUUUCAUCCAAUUUCGAUUGGACACGUAUACCAGUUUUGAUUAAAAAAAUUAAAAUUUGAACACGUGUUCAGUCGGGUGUGAGCAGCUGCUGAAUCUGCAGCAGCCAAAUCCAGUUUUUUUUUAUUUUUUUUAUGCGUAUUCAUAUCCCGUCCCGUCGGGAUUAAGGAUUUAUAAUCCGACUUUUCUCAGCAUCAUUCUCACACGCCCCGCUGGACUCUGAAAACCCAGACAAAGCCUGGACUCCAGAAAUUGUCAUUUGCUUUGCAUUCUUUGUCCAAUCCAAGGGUCCUUGUCCGUUUUGACCCUUGCAAUUAGUCGUGGACUAUAUCGUCCCGAGCUAAAUCCUUCUGCUAAUCACAACCACAUAUGUCAGUUCAUCCUUCCCAUAAAUUAGAUUAGUUUAGAAUAUCGCUCGAGAAAAAGUUCGGAUCCCAGUUCCAUUUGGCAUUCAAAGGGAGGAACUUUGUGAUUAAAAUCACACAAAAGUCGUAAAAUUUAUCACCUGGGAUUCGAUGGUUUCCGAAGGAGUGGAAGAAUCGGGAGGCACGGAGGUGCCCCAGUCAAAAUUCAGGUACAACUCGCCGUUUGUCCAAGUGAGUUUGAUCGGAUUGGUCUGUUUCUGCUGCCCUGGCAUGUUCAACGCCCUCUCCGGCAUGGGCGGCGGAGGCCAGGUCGAUCCGACCGCCGCUAACAACGCCUCCACCGCCCUCUAUACCACCUUCGCCGUCUUCGGUAUCCUCGGUGGCGGCAUCUACAACAUCCUCGGCCCCCGCCUCACUCUCCUCUCCGCCUGCUCCACCUACGUUCUCUACGCCGGCUCAUUCCUCUACUACAACCACCACAAACACCAGGCUUUCGCUAUUGUCGCCGGAGCAAUCCUCGGAAUCGGCGCCGGCCUCCUCUGGGCCGGCC
rnacentral:lncRNA from 1 species